CCAACGGCUCUUUUAAGAGCCACGCAGACCCUCUGAGAGCCCAGA
rfam:Gasterosteus aculeatus cont1.012714, whole genome shotgun sequence.